rnacentral:rRNA from 1 species
UACGUAGGAUGCAAGCGUUGUCCGGAAUUAUUGGGCGUAAAGAGCGCGCAGGCGGUCAUUCAAGUCAGAUGUGAAAUAUCCGGGCUUAACCCGGAGGGGUCAUUUGAAACUGGGUGACUAGAGUACAGCAGAGGAUAGCGGAAUUCCCGGUGUAGUGGUGAAAUGCGUAGAUAUGUGGAGGAACACCGAUGGCGAAGGCAGCCCCCUGGGUUAACACUGACGCUCAUGCACGAAAGCGUGGGGAGCAAACAGG